rnacentral:rRNA from 1 species
UACGAGGUGGACAAACGUUAUUCGGAUUUACUGGGUUUAAAGGGUGCGUAGGUGGUCUAUUAAGUCAGUGCUGAAAUAUCCCGGCUUAACCGGGAGGGUGGCAUUGAUACUGAUGGACUUGAGUAGAGUUGAGGUAGGCGGAAUUGACGGUGUAGCGGUGAAAUGCUUAGAUAUCGUCAAGAACACCGAUAGCGAAGGCAGCUUACUAAGCUCAAACUGACGCUGAGGCACGAAAGUGUGGGGAUCAAACAGG